GACUGAACGGCUGAGUGGUCCAAGGCCCUGCGUUAAGGCCGCACUUCACUUAUGUGGGCGUGGGUUCGAAUCCCACUUUAGUCA
rfam:Trichuris muris Edinburgh genomic scaffold, scaffold150